UACGAAGGGGGCUAGCGUUGUUCGGAAUUACUGGGCGUAAAAUGCACGUAGGCGGAUUAGUAAGUCAGGGGUGAAAUCCCGGGGCUCAACCUCGGAACUGCCUUUGAUACUGCUGAUCUCGAGUCCGGAAGAGGUGAGUGGAAUUCCUAGUGUAGAGGUGAAAUUCGUAGAUAUUAGGAAGAACACCAGUGGCGAAGGCUCCUCACUGGUCCGGUACUGACGCUGAGGUGCGAAAGCGUGGGGAGCAAACAGG
rnacentral:rRNA from 1 species